GACGAACGCUGGCGGCGUGCUUAACACAUGCAAGUCGAGCGGUAAGGCCCUUUCGGGGGUACACGAGGCGGCGAACGGGUGAGUAACACGUGGGUGACCUGCCCUUAGCUCUGGGGAUAAGCCUGGGAAACGUGGGUCUAAUACCGGAUAUGACUCCAUAACGCAUGUUGUGGGGGUGGAAAGCCUUGGUGCGGCUAAGGGAUGGGCCCGCGGCCUAUCAGCUUGUUGGGUGGGGUGAUGGCCUACCAAGGGCGACGACGGGUAGCCGGCCCUGAGAGGGCGGACCGGCCACACUGGGACGUGAGACACGGCCC
rnacentral:rRNA from 1 species